rnacentral:rRNA from 1 species
UGGGGAAUCUUGCACAAUGGGGGCAACCCUGAUGCAGCGACGCCGCGUGAGCGAUGAAGCCCUUCGGGGUGUAAAGCUCUUUCGGCAGGGAAGAUUAUGACGGUACCUGCAGAAGCAGCUGCGGCUAACUACGUGCCAGCAGCCGCGGGAAUACGUAUGCAGCGAGCGUUGUUCGGAGUUACUGGGCGUAAAGGGUGUGUAGGCGGUUGUUUAAGUUUGGCGUGAAAUCUCCCGGCUCAACUGGGAGGGUGCGUCGAAUACUGAAUGACUUGGAGUGCGGGAGAGGAAAGUGGAAUUCCUGGUGUAGCGGUGAAAUGCGUAGAUAUCAGGAGGAACACCGGUGGUGUAGACGGCUUUCUGGGCCGUAACUGACGCUGAGACACGAAAGCGUGGGUAGCAAACA